rnacentral:rRNA from 1 species
UUUUCCAGGUAAAUCCGGAAAAUCAAGGCUGAGGCGUGAUGACGAGGCACUACGGUGCUGAAGCAACAAAUGCCCUGCUUCCAGGAAAAGCCUCUAAGCAUCAGGUAACAUCAAAUCGUACCCCAAACCGACACAGGUGGUCAGGUAGAGAAUACCAAGGCGCUUGAGAGAACUCGGGUGAAGGAACUAGGCAAAAUGGUGCCGUAACUUCGGGAGAAGGCACGCUGAUACGUAGGUGAAGUCCCUUGCGGAUGGAGCUGAAAUCAGUCGAAGAUACCAGCUGGCUGCAACUGUUUAUUAAAAACACAGCACUGUGCAAACACGAAAGUGGACGUAUACGGUGUGACGCCUGCCCGGUGCCGGAAGGUUAAUUGAUGGGGUUAGCGGUAACGCGAAGCUCUUGAUCGAAGCCCCGGUAAACGGCGGCCGUAACUAUAACGGUCCUAAGGUAGCGAAAUUCCUUGUCGGGUAAGUUCCGACCUGCACGAAUGGCGUAAUGAUGGCCAGGCUGUCUCCACCCGAGACUCAGUGAAAUUGAACUCGCUGUGAAGAUGCAGUGUACCCGCGGCAAGACGGAAAGACCCCGUGAACCUUUACUAUAGCUUGACACUGAACAUUGAGCCUUGAUGUGUAGGAUAGGUGGGAGGCUUUGAAGUGUGGACGCCAGUCUGCAUGGAGCCGACCUUGAAAUACCACCCUUUAAUGUUUGAUGUUCUAACGUUGGCCCCUAAUCGGGGUUGCGGACAGUGUCUGGUGGGUAGUUUGACUGGGGCGGUCUCCUCCUAAAGAGUAACGGAGGAGCACGAAGGUUGGCUAAUCCUGGUCGGACAUCAGGAGGUUAGUGCAAUGGCAUAAGCCAGCUUGACUGCGAGCGUGACGGCGCGAGCAGGUGCGAAAGCAGGUCAUAGUGAUCCGGUGGUUCUGAAUGGAAGGGCCAUCGCUCAACGGAUAAAAGGUACUCCGGGGAUAACAGGCUGAUACCGCCCAAGAGUUCAUAUCGACGGCGGUGUUUGGCACCUCGAUGUCGGCUCAUCACAUCCUGGGGCUGAAGUAGGUCCCAAGGGUAUGGCUGUUCGCCAUUUAAAGUGGUACGCGAGCUGGGUUUAGAACGUCGUGAGACAGUUCGGUCCCUAUCUGCCGUGGGCGCUGGAGAACUGAGGGGGGCUGCUCCUAGUACGAGAGGACCGGAGUGGACGCAUCACUGGUGUUCGGGUUGUCAUGCCAAUGGCACUGCCCGGUAGCUAAAUGCGGAAGAGAUAAGUGCUGAAAGCAUCUAAGCACGAAACUUGCCCCGAGAUGAGUUCUCCCUGACUCCUUGAGAGUCCUGAAGGAACGUUGAAGACGACGACGUUGAUAGGCCGGGUGUGUAAGCGCAGCGAUGCGUUGAGCUAACCGGUACUAAUGAACCGUGAGGCUUAACCUUACAACGCCGAAG